AAAGAUGAUUUCCUUCUUCCUCUUUCUCUCUGGACCGAAAAAUUUUCUUCUUCUUUCUUCUUCUCCCUCCUCUUUGGCCGAAUGCAUACUUAGAAAAAAAAAUCACUUCUCUUCUAGAGUUGAAAUCCUCCCUCCUAAGCCAAGAGAAGAGAACAUUGUCAAUUGAAGGUUUAGAGAGGAAAGUGAAGAAUAAGAUUUAACGGAGUUGAUUGAAGUUGAUGAGAGCGCGGCUAAGUUGUAAUAGAUAGGGUUACGUAAUAAGUCUUUGGGACAAUAGAUUGUUGAUGAAUUUACAUUAGACUUUGCUUUUCUCUUGGGACAACUUUUUGAGUUAAGAAUGUUGGAUUUGGAUUUAUGAACGAUUAAAUUGUUUGGUUA